GGGAUUGCCUUAGUAGCGGCGAGUGAAGCGGCAAUAGCUCAAAUUUGAAAUCUGGCACCUUCGGUGUCCGAGUUGUAAUUUGAAGAAGGUAUCUUUGGUUUUGGCUCUUGUCUAUGUUCCUUGGAACAGGACGUCACAGAGGGUGAGAAUCCCGUGCGAUGAGAUGCCCAAUUCCAUGUAAAGUUCCUUCGACGAGUCGAGUUGUUUGGGAAUGCAGCUCUAAGUGGGUGGUAAAUUCCAUCUAAAGCUAAAUAUUGGCGAGAGACCGAUAGCGAACAAGUACUGUGAAGGAAAGAUGAAAAGAACUUUGAAAAGAGAGUGAAAAAGUACGUGAAAUUGUUGAAAGGGAAGGGCUUGAGAUUAGACUUGGAAUUUUCCAUUUAUGGAGCUUUCCGGGCCAGCAUCAGUUUGGAUGGCAGGAUAAUUGCGUUGGAAAGUAGCACCACUUCGGUGGUGUGUUAUAGACUUCGUCGAUACUGCCUAUCUAGACUGAGGACCGCGUCUUUGACUAGGAUGCUGG
rnacentral:rRNA from 1 species